UACGUAGGGACCAAGCGUUGUUCGGAUUUACUGGGCGUAAAGGGCGCGUAGGCGGCUUGACAAGUCACUUGUGAAAUCUCCGGGCUUAACUCGGAACGGCCAAGUGAAACUGUCAUGCUAGAGUGCAGAAGGGGCAAUCGGAAUUCUUGGUGUAGCGGUGAAAUGCGUAGAUAUCAAGAGGAACGCCUGAGGUGAAGACGGGUUGCUGGGCUGACACUGACGCUGAGGCGCGAAAGCCAGGGGAGCAAACGGG
rnacentral:rRNA from 1 species